rnacentral:tRNA from 1 species
GCGGUGGUGGAGAAAUUAGGCAGCCUCGAGGGCCUUAGGAGCCCUUGCGCGAAAGCGCGUGCGGGUUCGAGUCCCGCCCACCGCA